CUCAUUCAUUUAAUUUCCCGUCGGUUACGUCUCAUCCCUUAUCCCAAAUUAAAUUGUUAUCGUUCUUCUUGGCCUAUGGUUCUUGAGACGAGAGAGGGUGUUGGGGGUCUUUCCGGCAACUACCUGCUACUCCGAUCACCACCUUCCUUUCCUCCAAACUGAUUCAGCGAAGUCGUGAAAAAACCGAAUGAACAAUAAGGAGAAAAAGGGGUUGUGACUGUGAAGCUUUCUGGCGACGACUAGGGUUUCGGCAUGAGUCUUUUGAGGUAGCGGGUUUGUUGAGACUCUAUCUAACCAUUUAGUUAUCACAGUGCAUGGCUGAUGUCGAUUGUACCAUAAUGAUGUGAACGUCGAUGUGUAUGUGGUUGAAUUCAGUAGAUAAAACGAGCCUGUAUUUGAGGCGUGUCUUCUUCCAAAGAGUUGUCUUCUUACUAACUGUUGUUGAUCGAGAUGAUGGAUUUCGUGGGAUCGAUGAUUAUCUUCAGUCAACAAAAGAUACAUCACAUAAAUGAACGUUCUUGAGUACAUGUGCUCGUGAGGGACCAUGAGAAGGUUAUUGUGCAACAGUCCUUAUAUAUUUGCUAAGGUGUUGAUAUGAAGUCACAUUACACUGAGUGAUUAAAGAGAAGUAGAUCACUAGUGUAAAUAAAUGUAAGUUCCGUUUAUGCUUAUGUUUUUGUAUUGACGAUGACAUCCCAAACGUUUUAAAAUGAAUAAAAUACGUUUCUUCAAAAAUGUUUUGAUAACGUAUUUAUCGUGUUUUUCUGGGAACAAAUUCCGCAACAUUUUUAUUAAAAGAAGUACUCUGAUUUUUAUAAAGCAUAAAAAAAUCGGUUUUUUUUGGGCGUGAAAAAUGGGGAUGUCAAAGCCAGUCACUUAUUAGUGAACGGGUUUUGCCUUUAGGUUAGUGAUGGACCUACAUGUGGGGUGUCUACCUUACGAGUUAGUGAUGGACCCAUGUGUGGGGAGUCUACCUUACGGAUUAAUGAUGGACCCAAGGAUAGGAAUAAUUAAUAUUUAUCUAAUAUUAAAAAAAUAAAUAAUAA